UGAGAUUUCUCUGAGGAGACAGCUGGUCAUUUGCAUUCUUUUAGAGAGUCCUUAAGGCCACUUAGAGGUUUGCCUGUGUCCUCAGGUUCACCCGAGUAGUGCAAAUGGGUGUGGACAUUUUUGGAACUGGCAAAAGGGUUCCUGUAGUUUGUAAUUUUUCGGGAAAUCUGUUUAUACUCC